rnacentral:rRNA from 2 species
AGUCGAGCGAAUCGAYGGGAGCUUGCUCCCUGAGAUUAGCGGCGGACGGGUGAGUAACACGUGGGCAACCUGCCUAUAAGACUGGGAUAACUUCGGGAAACCGGAGCUAAUACCGGAUACGUUCUUUUCUCGCAUGAGAGAAGAUGGAAAGACGGUUUACGCUGUCACUUAUAGAUGGGCCCGCGGCGCAUUAGCUAGUUGGUGAGGUAAUGGCUCACCAAGGCGACGAUGCGUAGCCGACCUGAGAGGGUGAUCGGCCACACUGGGACUGAGACACGGCCCAGACUCCUACGGGAGGCAGCAGUAGGGAAUCUUCCGCAAUGGACGAAAGUCUGACGGAGCAACGCCGCGUGAACGAAGAAGGCCUUCGGGUCGUAAAGUUCUGUUGUUASGGAAGAACAAGUACCAGAGUAACUGCUGGUACCUUGACGGUACCUAACCAGAAAGCCACGGSUAACUACGKGSC